rnacentral:rRNA from 1 species
AUACGUAGGGGGCGAGCGUUGUCCGGAAUGAUUGGGCGUAAAGGGCGCGUAGGCGGCUUUGCAAGUCAGUAGUGGAAGUCCAUUUUUCAAGGAUGGAAGUGCUACAGAAACUGCGGAGCUUGAGUGCAGGAGAGGUUAUCGGAAUUCCCGGUGUAGCGGUGAAAUGCGUAGAGAUCGGGAGGAACACCAGUGGCGAAGGCGGGUAACUGGACUGCAACUGACGCUGAGGCGCGAAAGUGUGGGGAGCAAACAGGAUUAGAUACCCUGGUAGUCCACACUGUAAACGAUGAAUGCUAGGUGUAGGAGGUAUCGACCCCUUCUGUGCCGCAGUAAACACAGUAAGCAUUCCGCCUGGGGAGUACGGUCGCAAGGCUGAAACUCAAAUGAAUUGACGGGG